GACGAACGCUGGCGGCGUGCUUAACACAUGCAAGUCGAACGGAAAGGCCCUGCUUUUGUGGGGUGCUCGAGUGGCGAACGGGUGAGUAACACGUGAGUAACCUGCCCUUGACUUUGGGAUAACUUCAGGAAACUGGGGCUAAUACCGGAUAGGAGCUCCUGCUGCAUGGUGGGGGUUGGAAAGUUUCGGCGGUUGGGGAUGGACUCGCGGCUUAUCAGCUGUUGGUGGGGUAGUGGCUUACCAAGGCUUUGACGGGUAGCCGGCCUGAGAGGGUGACCGGCCACAUUGGGACUGAGAUACGGCCCAGACUCCUACGGGAGGCAGCAGUGGGGAAUAUUGCACAAGGGGCGGAAGCCUGAUGCAGCAACGCCGCGUGCGGGAUGACGGCCUUCGGGUUGUAAACCGCUUUCGCCUGUGACGAAGCGUGAGUGACGGUAAUGGGUAAAGAAGCACCGGCUAACUACGU
rnacentral:rRNA from 1 species